AAAGUCGUAACAAGGUUUCCGUAGGUGAACCUGCGGAAGGAUCAUUACCGAGUGCGGGCCCUCUGGGCCCAACCUCCCACCCGUGUUUCGUUAUACCUUGUUGCUUCGGCGGGCCCGCCGUUCCGGCCGCCGGGGGGCUUUUACGCCCCCGGGCCCGCGCCCGCCGAAGACACCCCCGAACGCUGCCUGAAGGUUGCAGUCUGAGUGAUCAUGAUAAAUCGGUUAAAACUUUCAACAACGGAUCUCUUGGUUCCG
rnacentral:misc_RNA from 1 species